CCUACGGGAGGCAGCAGUGAGGAAUAUUGGUCAAUGGGCGGGAGCCUGAACCAGCCAAGCCGCGUGAGGGAAGAAGGUACAGCGUAUCGUAAACCUCUUUUGUCAGGGAACAAAGGCGGGGACUAGUCCCCGGAUGAGGGUACCUGAAGAUAAAGCAUCGGCUAACUCCGUGCCAGCAGCAGCGGUAAUACGGAGGAUGCGAGCGUUAUCCGGAUUUAUGGGGUUUAAGGGGUGAGCAGGAGGCAUGUUAAGUCAGCGGUAAAAGCCCGGGGCUCAACCCCGGCGAGCCGUUGAAACUGGCGGGCUGGAGUGGGAGAGAAGUACGCGGAAUUCGCGGUGUAGCGGUGAAAUGCGUAGAUAGCGCGCAGAACCCCGAUGGCGAAGGCAGCGUACCGGCUCCACACUGACGCUGAGGCACGAAAGCGUGGGUAUCGAACAGGAUUAGAUACCCGUGUAGUC
rnacentral:rRNA from 1 species